UAUAUUUUUCAGUCAAUCUUUGUUAAGAGUUUGGAGGAGGUUGAUCCAUGUGAAGACUUGACAGAUGAUGAUAUACGGACUGCAAUUCAGAAUGCAACUGGUCCAAGAUCCGCAUUAUUUGUUCCAGAUGUACCAUUUGAAGUUCUUGUUAGGAGACAAAUAUCUCGUUUGUUAGAUCCUAGCCUUCAGUGCGCUAGGUUCAUUUUUGAUGAGCUAAUAAAG